rnacentral:rRNA from 1 species
UACGUAGGGCGCAAGCGUUGUCCGGAAUUAUUGGGCGUAAUGAGCUCGUAGGCGGCUUGUCACGUCGGGUGUGAAAGCCCGGGGCUUAACCCCGGGUCUGCAUUCGAUACGGGCUAGCUAGAGUGUGGUAGGGGAGAUCGGAAUUCCUGGUGUAGCGGUGAAAUGCGCAGAUAUCAGGAGGAACACCGGUGGCGAAGGCGGAUCUCUGGGCCAUUACUGACGCUGAGGAGCGAAAGCGUGGGGAGCGAACAGG